GGCUGUGUCUCAAUUCAGGGUCUGCAUCCUACCUCGGCCGGAUUCGUCGGCCGGUUACGUCACAGCGCCGCGACUCGGCCUGUCCCAAUUCGAAGACUCCUUCAAAUGCGGUCGACGAAUGCGGCCUUCUUUUCGCCUGAAUGAAGGAUGGGUCGGGUGUAUCCUUCAAUAGGUAGCAUUUCCCAAGAUGCCUUGCGGGCCGGCCGGCAGAAAAACUUAAAAACAAUGGCGGACAGUGAAGCGGGAGCUGUCGGAGAGGAUUGCGCAUAUACAUGUAAGUAUAAACUUGAAAACUGUCAGUUUAAGGACUUUUUGUGAUACAUGAACGUUAUUUUAGUUAGAAAUGUUACAGUAAAAGUGCUUGUAUUGCGGUCUCGGCUCGUAUGUUCGGCCGCGCUCGGUGUCGUACUUCUCCCGCUACGUUUCCCCCUGAUUUUAAUAGAAGUUUGUAUUUUAGGAACAAAAGAGAAAACCAGGGAAUUUAUUAAGCUUAGGGCGGAGAUGGACCACAUGAUCACCGGAGCAAAGUAUUCGGCGGCUGUGGCAUGGAGACUAUUCUGGAGAAAAUGGGCAUCCAGGGGAAGGUGCCAGCGAUGAGCUUCUGGAGCUGAUCUGGGAGGACAUGAGGCUGCAGAGGGAGGCAGAGCAGCAGGAGCCCAGGAGAGAAGGAAGAACUUUGACAGCUUUUUACUUUGCUAGAAAAAAAUGGUUAAGGAAGAUUAAACAUGUACAUGUAAAAGAAAUAUCUAAAUAAAAUCAGUUCUGC